rnacentral:rRNA from 1 species
AUUGAACGCUGGCGGCAGGCCUAACACAUGCAAGUCGGGCGAGCCGCGGACGAGUGAGUAAUGUAUGGGGACUCCCUGAUGGAGGGGGAUAACUUCUGGAAACGGUAGCUAAUACCGCAUACCAUCAGAGACCCCAUAUGGGAUUAGCUAGUAGGUGAGGUAACGGCUCACCUAGGCGACGACCUCUAGCUGGUCUGAGAGGAUGAUCAGCCAAACUGGGACUGAGACACGGCCCAGACUCCUACGGAGGCAGCAGUGGGGAAUAGUGCACAAUGGGCGCAAGCCUGAGGCAGCCAUGCCGCGUGUAUGAAGAAGGCCUUCGGGUUGUAAAGUACUUUCAGUCGGGAGGCGUUACCGACAGAAGAAGCACCGGCUAACUCCGUGCCAGCCGCCGCGGUAAUUC